CCUACGGGAGGCAGCAGUGGGGAAUAUUGCACAAUGGGGGCAACCCUGAUGCAGCGAUGCCGCGUGAGUGAAGAAGUAUUUCGGUAUGUAAAGCUCUAUCAGCAGGGAAGAAAAUGACGGUACCUGACUAAGAAGCCCCGGCUAACUACGUGCCAGCAGCCGCGGUAAUACGUAGGGGGCAACCGUUAUCCGGAUUUACUGGGUGUAAAGGGAGCGUAGACGGCAGAGCAAGUCUGAAGUGAAAGCCCGGGGCCCAACUGCGGGACUGCUUUGGAAACUGCCCGGCUAGAGUGCUGGAGAGGUAAGCGGAAUUCCUAGUGUAGCGGUGAAAUGCGUAGAUAUUAGGAGGAACACCAGUGGCGAAGGCGGCUUACUGGACAGUAACUGACGUUGAGGCUCGAAAGCGUGGGGAGCAAACAGGAUUAGAUACCCCAGUAGUC
rnacentral:rRNA from 1 species